GGGUCCAUAGCUCAAUUGGUAGAGCAGCGGACUCAUAAUCCGCGGGUCGCAGGUUCGAGUCCUGCUGGACCCA
rnacentral:tRNA from 1 species